AUUGAACGCUAGCGGUAUGCUUUACACAUGCAAGUCGAACGAGUGGCGGACGGGUGCGUAAUGUAUGGGAAACUGCCCGAUGGCGGGGGAUAACUACUGGAAACGGUGGCUAAUACAGCCUCCUAUUGGCGCGGCCCAUAUGGGAUUAGCUAAUAGGUGGGGUAAAGGCUCACCUAGGCAACGAUCCCUAGCUGGUUUGAGAGGAGUACCAGCAACACUGGAACUGAGACACGGUCCAGACUCCUACGGGAGGCAGCAGUGGGGAAUUUUGCACAAUGGGCGAAAGCCUGAUGCAGCCAUACCGCGUGUAUGACGAAGGCCUUCGGGUUGUAAAGUACUUGCGGCAGAGAAGCGUUAUCCGCAGAAGAAGCACCGGCUAACUCCGUGCCAGCAGCCGCGGUAAUUC
rnacentral:rRNA from 1 species